rnacentral:rRNA from 1 species
UAGGGAAUAUUGCAAAUGGGCGAAAGCCUGAUGUAGCAACGCCGCGUGUGCGAUGAAGGUCUUCGGAUUGUAAAGCACUUUUUGGAGGGAUGAGGAAGGACAGUACCUCCAGAAUAAGCCUCGGCUAACUACGUGCCAGCAGCCGCGGUAACACGUAGGAGGCAAGCGUAAUUCGGAUUUACUGGGCGUAAAGCGCGUGCAGGCGGUUUGGAAAGUUGGAUGUGAAAGCUCCUGGCUCAACUGGGAGAGGUCGUUCAAAACUUCCAGGAUUGAGAGUGGUAGGGGAAGAGAAAAUACCGGGUGUAGUGGUGAAAUGCGUAGAGAUGCGGAGGAACGCCGGUGGCGAGAGCGGCCUCCUGGGCAGCUUCUGACGCUCAGACGCGAAAACUAGGGUAGCAAACGG